rnacentral:rRNA from 1 species
UGACUGCGUACCUUUUGUAUAAUGGGUCAGCGACUUAUAUUCUGUAGCAAGGUUAACCGAAUAGGGGAGCCGAAGGGAAACCGAGUCUUAACCGGGCGUUAAGUUGCAGGGUAUAGACCCGAAACCCGGUGAUCUAGCCAUGGGCAGGUUGAAGGUUGGGUAACACUAACUGGAGGACCGAACCGACUAAUGUUGAAAAAUUAGCGGAUGACUUGUGGCUGGGGGUGAAAGGCCAAUCAAACCGGGAGAUAGCUGGUUCUCCCCGAAAGCUAUUUAGGUAGCGCCUCGUGAAUUCAUCUCCGGGGGUAGAGCACUGUUUCGGCAAGGGGGUCAUCCCGACUUACCAACCCGAUGCAAACUGCGAAUACCGGAGAAUGUUAUCACGGGAGACACACGGCGGGUGCUAACGUCCGUCGUGAAGAGGGAAACAACCCAGACCGCCAGCUAAGGUCCCAAAGUCAUGGUUAAGUGGGAAACGAUGUGGGAAGGCCCAGACAGCCAGGAUGUUGGCUUAGAAGCAGCCAUCAUUUAAAGAAAGCGUAAUAGCUCACUGGUCGAGUCGGCCUGCGCGGAAGAUGUAACGGGGCUAAACCAUGCACCGAAGCUGCGGCAGCGACACUGUGUGUUGUUGGGUAGGGGAGCGUUCUGUAAGCCUGUGAAGGUGUCUGUGAGGAUGCUGGAGGUAUCAGAAGUGCGAAUGCUGACAUAAGUAACGAUAAAGCGGGUGAAAAGCCCGCUCGCCGGAAGACCAAGGGUUCCUGUCCAACGUUAAUCGGGGCAGGGUGAGUCGACCCCUAAGGCGAGGCCGAAAGGCGUAGUCGAUGGGAAACAGGUUAAUAUUCCUGUACUUGGUGUUACUGCGAAGGGGGGACGGAGAAGGCUAUGUUGGCCGGGCGACGGUUGUCCCGGUUUAAGCGUGUAGGCUGGUUUUCCAGGCAAAUCCGGAAAAUCAAGGCUGAGGCGUGAUGACGAGGCACUACGGUGCUGAAGCAACAAAUGCCCUGCUUCCAGGAAAAGCCUCUAAGCAUCAGGUAACAUCAAAUCGUACCCCAAACCGACACAGGUGGUCAGGUAGAGAAUACCAAGGCGCUUGAGAGAACUCGGGUGAAGGAACUAGGCAAAAUGGUGCCGUAACUUCGGGAGAAGGCACGCUGAUAUGUAGGUGAAGUCCCUCGCGGAUGGAGCUGAAAUCAGUCGAAGAUACCAGCUGGCUGCAACUGUUUAUUAAAAACACAGCACUGUGCAAACACGAAAGUGGACGUAUACGGUGUGACGCCUGCCCGGUGCCGGAAGGUUAAUUGAUGGGGUCAGCGCAAGCGAAGCUCUUGAUCGAAGCCCCGGUAAACGGCGGCCGUAACUAUAACGGUCCUAAGGUAGCGAAAUUCCUUGUCGGGUAAGUUCCGACCUGCACGAAUGGCGUAAUGAUGGCCAGGCUGUCUCCACCCGAGACUCAGUGAAAUUGAACUCGCUGUGAAGAUGCAGUGUACCCGCGGCAAGACGGAAAGACCCCGUGAACCUUUACUAUAGCUUGACACUGAACAUUGAGCCUUGAUGUGUAGGAUAGGUGGGAGGCUUUGAAGUGUGGACGCCAGUCUGCAUGGAGCCGACCUUGAAAUACCACCCUUUAAUGUUUGAUGUUCUAACGUGGACCCGUGAUCCGGGUUGCGGACAGUGUCUGGUGGGUAGUUUGACUGGGGCGGUCUCCUCCUAAAGAGUAACGGAGGAGCACGAAGGUUGGCUAAUCCUGGUCGGACAUCAGGAGGUUAGUGCAAUGGCAUAAGCCAGCUUGACUGCGAGCGUGACGGCGCGAGCAGGUGCGAAAGCAGGUCAUAGUGAUCCGGUGGUUCUGAAUGGAAGGGCCAUCGCUCAACGGAUAAAAGGUACUCCGGGGAUAACAGGCUGAUACCGCCCAAGAGUUCAUAUCGACGGCGGUGUUUGGCACCUCGAUGUCGGCUCAUCACAUCCUGGGGCUGAAGUAGGUCCCAAGGGUAUGGCUGUUCGCCAUUUAAAGUGGUACGCGAGCUGGGUUUAGAACGUCGUGAGACAGUUCGGUCCCUAUCUGCCGUGGGCGCUGGAGAACUGAGGGGGGCUGCUCCUAGUACGAGAGGACCGGAGUGGACGCAUCACUGGUGUUCGGGUUGUCAUGCCAAUGGCACUGCCCGGUAGCUAAAUGCGGAAGAGAUAAGUGCUGAAAGCAUCUAAGCACGAAACUUGCCCCGAGAUGAGUUCUCCCUGACCCUUUAAGGGUCCUGAAGGAACGUUGAAGACGACGACGUUGAUAGGCCGGGUGUGUAAGCGCAGCGAUGCGUUGAGCUAACCGGUACUAAUGAACCGUGAGGCUUAACCU